rnacentral:rRNA from 1 species
GUGCCAUCCGCCGCGGUAAUACGGAGGGGGUUAGCGUUGUUCGGAAUUACUGGGCGUAAAGCGCGCGUAGGCGGAUCGGAAAGUUGGGGGUGAAAUCCCGGGGCUCAACCCCGGAACUGCCUCCAAAACUACUGGUCUUGAGUUCGAGAGAGGUGAGUGGAAUUCCGAGUGUAGAGGUGAAAUUCGUAGAUAUUCGGAGGAACACCAGUGGCGAAGGCGGCUCACUGGCUCGAUACUGACGCUGAGGUGCGAAAGUGUGGGGAGCAAACAGGAUUAGAAACCCCGGUAGUCC